GAUAAACGCUGGCGGCGUGCAUAACACAUGCAAGUCGAACGAUGAAGAUUAAAAGAUUUCUUCGGAAUGAACUUAAUUGGAUUAGUGGCGGACGGGUGAGUAACGCGUGAGUAACCUGCCUUGUACAAGGGGAUAGCCGUUGGAAACGACGAAUAAUACCCCAUGACAUCAAAUAAUCGCAUGAUAAUUUGAUCAAAGAUUUAUCGGUAUAAGAUGGACUCGCGUCUGAUUAGCUAGUUGGUAGAGUAAAAGCCUACCAAGGCAACGAUCAGUAGCCGGCUUGAGAGAGUGUACGGCCACAUUGGGACUGAGACACGGCCCAGACUCCUACGGGAGGCAGCAGUGGGGAAUUUUGCACAAUGGGGGAAACCCUGAUGCAGCGACGCCGCGUGAUUUAGAAGGCCUUCGGGUUGUAAAAAUCUUUUGUAUGGGAAGAAAAUGACAGUACCAUACGAAUAAGGACCGGCUAAUUACGUG
rnacentral:rRNA from 1 species